rnacentral:lncRNA from 1 species
AUUUAAUUUAUUUUUUAAAACCAAACCAAACCAUUAAAGACAUGCAGCACAUGAACAUAAACAUAAAUAGAAAAAAUUCAGGAGAACAUAAACAUAAAUAGAAAAGAUUAGUCAGCUACUGUAUGCAAAGAUUGUCCUAUGAGUGAAUGUGUUUCUUGCUCCAGCAGACCGAACCAAACCUUUAUAUUGCAGCGAGGAAAGCGCUUGAGGAGAUAUAAGGACUACUUAGAGGCUCGGGAUGAGUAGAAGAGUGAAGAAGAUAGAGGAACAAAUCUAGCUAAUACAGGCGAUGCAGAAGAUAUAUGGAACUAAACAAGUUUAGUUUGAAUUAAUUUUAAUUUGAUUUAAUUUAUAUUUUUUAAACUAAACCAAACCAUAAAAGACAUGCAGCAGGUGAACAUAAACAUAAAUAGAAAAGAUUAGUCAGCUACUGUAUGGAAAGAUUGUCCUAUGAGUGAAUGCGUUCCUUACUCCAACUACCCAAACCAAACCCUUUUCUUGCAGCGAGGAAAGCGCAUGAAUAGAUAUAAGGACUACUUAGAGGCUCGGGCUGAGUAGAAGAGUGAAGAAGAUAGAGGAACAAACCUAGCUAAUACAGGCGAUGCAGGAGAUAUAUGGAACCAAACAAGUUUAGUUUGAAUUAAUUUUAAUUUGAUUUAAUUUAUAUUUUUUAAACCAAACCAAACCAUAAAAGACAUGCAGCAUGUGAAUAUAAACAUAAAUAGAAAAGAUUACGUCAGCUACUGCAUGGAAGGAUUGUCCUAUGAGUGAAUGCGUUUCUUGCUCCAGCUGCCCGAACCAAACCAUUUUCUUGCAGCGAGAAAAGCGCUUGAGGAGAUAUAAGGAAUAGUAAGAGGGUCGGGCUGAGUAGAAGAGUGAAGAAGAUAGAUGAACAAAUCUAGCUAAUACAGGAGAUGCAGGAGAUAUAUGGAACCAAACAAGUUUAGUUUGAAUUAAUUUUAAUUUGAUUUAAUUUAUAUUUUUUAAAUCAAACCAAACCAUAAAAGACAUGAAAUAGGUGAACAUAAAACAUAAACAGAAAAGAUUCAGGUGAACAUAAACAUAAAUAGAAAAGAUUAGUCAGCUACUGUAUGGAAAGAUUGUCCUAUGAGUUAAUGCGUUUCUUGCUCCAGCUGCCCGAACCAAACCCUUUUCUUGCAGCGAGGAAAGCGCUUGAGGAGAUAUAAAGACUACUUAGAGGCUUGGGCUGAGUAGAAGAGUGAAGAAGAUAGAGGAACAAAUCUAGCUAAUACAGGCGAUGCAGGAGAUAUAUGGAACCAAACAAGUUUAGUUUGAAUUAAUUUUAAUUUGAUUUAAUUUAUAUUUUUUCAACCAAACCAAACCAUAAAAGACAUGCAGCAGGUGAAUAUAAACAUAAAUAGAAAAGAUUAGUCAGCUACUGUAUGGAAAGAUUGUCCUAUGAGUGAAUGAGUUUCUUGCUCCAGCUGCCCGAACCAAACCCUUUUGUUGUAGCGAGGAAAGCGCUUGAGGAGAUAUAAGGAUAACUUAGAGCAUCGGGCUGAGUAGAAGAGUGAAGAAGAUAGAGGAACAAACCUAGUUAAUACAGGCGAUGCAGGAGAUAUAUGGAACCAAACAAGUUUAGUUUGAAUUAAUUUUAAUUGGAUUUAAUUUAUAUUUUUUAAACCAAACCAAACCGUAAAAGACAUGCAGCAGGUGAACAUAAACAUAAAUAGAAAGAUUCAGGUGAACAUAAACAUAAAUAGAAAAGAUUAGUCAGCUAUUGUAUGGAAAGAUUGUCCUAUGAGUGAAUGCAUUUCUUGCUCCAACUGCCCGAGCCAAACCCUUUUCUUGCAGCGAGGAAAGCACUUGAGGAGAUAUAAGAACUGCUUUGAGGCUCGGGCUGAGUAGAAGAGUGAAGAAAAUAGAGAAAAAAAUCUAGCUAAUACAGGCGAUGCAGGAGAUAUAUGGAACCAAACAAGUUUAGUUUGAAUUAAUUUUAAUUUGAUUUAAUUUAUAUAUUUUAAACCAAAUCAAACCAUAAAAGACAUGCAGCAUGUGAACAUAAAUAUAAAUAGAAAAGAUUAGUCAACUACUGUAUGGAAGGAUUGUCCUAUAAGUGAAUGCGUUUCUUGCUCCAGUGCAGCGAGGAAAGCGCUUGAGGAGAUAUAAGAACUACUUAGAGGCUCGGGCUGAGUAGAAGAGUGUAGAAGAUAAAGGAACAAAUCUAGCUAAUACAGUCAUGCAGGAGACAUAUGAAACUAAACAAGUUUAGUUUGAAUUAAUUUUAAUUUGAUUUGAUUUAUAUUUUUUAAACCAAACCGAUCAUGUACGUAAUUUUUACAAAUAUGUAAUUAAUCAAUUUGACUGUAAAAUGAAAUCUUUCUAAUUUCAUGGAGGGACGGAAUUCAACAACGCUCACUUUACAAAUCUUUUUGAGCCAAACCAACGCCCGCUUUACUUCUUUUCUUCUUGAAAAUAGUAUUGUAAAGUGAGCGUUAAUUAAUCAAUUUGACUGUAAAAUGAAAUCUUUUUAAUUUGAUGGAGGGACGGAAUUAACCAACGCUCACUUUACAAAUCUUUUUGAGCCAAACCAACGCCCGCUUUACUUCUUUUCUUCUU